rnacentral:rRNA from 1 species
UACGUAGGGGGCGAGCGUUAUCCGGAAUUAUUGGGCGUAAAGGGUGCGUAGGUGGCCUGACAAGUUAUCAGUGGCAAAUCGAGGCUCAACCUCGUGGAAACUGGUAAUACUGUUCGGCUUGAGUACAGGAGAGGUUAACGGAACUCUAUGUGGAGCGGUAAAAUGCACAGAUAUAUAGAAGAACAUCAAUAAAGGCGAAGGCAGUUAACUAUUCUGUUACUGACGCUGAGGCACGAAAGCGUGGGGAGCAAAACGG